rnacentral:rRNA from 1 species
UACGUAGGGGGCAAGCGUUGUCCGGAAUCAUUGGGCGUAAAGAGCGUGUAGGCGGCCAGGUAAGUCCGCUGUGAAAACUCGAGGCUCAACUUCGAGCUGUCGGCGGAAACUAUCUGGCUAGAGUCCGGAAGAGGAGAGUGGAAUUCCUGGUGUAGCGGUGAAAUGCGCAGAUAUCAGGAGGAACACCAAUGGCGAAGGCAGCUCGCUGGGACGUGACUGACGCUGAGACGCGAAAGCGUGGGGAGCAAACAGG